rnacentral:rRNA from 1 species
CAAUACGUGGCAUACGGCUCAGUAACACGUAGUCAACAUGCCCAGAGGACGUGGAUAACCUCGGGAAACUGAGGAUAAACCGCGAUAGGUCAUAAUAUCUGGAAUGAUUUAUGGUUUAAAUCUAUAUGGCCUCUGGAUUGGACUGCGGCCGAUCAGGCUGUUGGUGAGGUAAUGGCCCACCAAACCUGAAACCGGUACGGGCUCUGAGAGGAGAAGCCCGGAGAUGGGCACUGAGACAAGGGCCCAGGCCCUAUGGGGCGCGGCAGGCGCGAAAACUCUGCAAUAAGCGAAAGCUUGACAGGGUUAUUCUGAGUGAUUUCCGCUAAGGAAAUCUUUUGGCACCUCCAAAAAUGGUGCAGAAUAAGGGGUGGGCAAGCCUGGUGUCAGCCGCCGCGGUAAUACCAGCACCCCGAGUGGUCGGGACGAUUAUUGGGCCUAAAGCAUCCGUAGCCGGUUCUACAAGUCUUCCGUUAAAUCCACCUGCUUAACAGAUGGGCUGCGGAGGAUACUAUGGAGCUAGGAGGCGGGAGAGGCAAGCGGUACUUAGUGGGUAGGGGUAAAAUCCGUUGAUCCAUUGAAGACCACCAGUGGCGAAGGCGGCUUGCCAGAACGCACUCGACGGUGAGGGAUGAAAGCUGGGGGAGCAAACCGGAUUAGAUACCCGGGUAGUCCCAGCUGUAAACGAUGCAGACUCGGUGAUGAAUAGGCUUCGUGCCUAUUCAGUGCCGCAGGGAAGCCGUUAAGUCUGCCGCCUGGGGAGUACGGUCGCAAGACUAAAACUUAAAGGAAUUGGCGGGGGAGCACCACAAGGGGUGAAGCCUGCGGUUCAAUUGGAGUCAACGCCGGG